rnacentral:misc_RNA from 1 species
AACGCAUAUUGCACUCUCUGGUAAUCCGGAGAGUAUGCCUGUUUGAGGGUCAGUAAAAAUAAAAAAAUCUAUCAUGAUCUUUUUUAAAAAAGGAUCGUGGAAUUGGAUCUUUCAAAGGUGUUAUUGUGUUAUUCCUUUGAUGAUCUUAAAUUUUUUAUGUUAUACGGCUGAUUUAAAUCGAACUAAAAAGAGCAAUUAUUUUAUAAUCUCGAAUUUUGGUGACGUUUAUAGGCCAAUAUGAUUUUUUUUUGGUAUUUUGAAUAUAUCAAAAAGUCAUAAACAUUUUUUAAAUUGACCUCAAAUCAGGUAAGAAUACCCGCUGAACUUAA